AGAGUUUGAUCAUGGCUCAGGAUGAACGCUAGCUACAGGCUUAACACAUGCAAGUCGAGGGGAAACGACAUCGAAAGCUUGCUUUUGAUGGGCGUCGACCGGCGCACGGGUGAGUAACGCGUAUCCAACCUGCCCACCACUUGGGGAUAACCUUGCGAAAGUAAGACUAAUACCCAAUGACGUCUCUAGAAGACAUCUGAGAGAGAUUAAAGAUUUAUCGGUGAUGGAUGGGGAUGCGUCUGAUUAGCUUGUUGGCGGGUAACGGCCGCCAAGGCUACGAUCGAGUAGGGGUUCUGAGAGGAAGGUCCCCACAUUGGAACUGAGACACGGUCCAAACUCCUACGGGAGGCA
rnacentral:rRNA from 1 species